AUCUGGCGAGGAGCAGAACAAAACAGAAGAGGCAGGAUCACUUUGGGCGUGGGAGGACCCCCCCGAUCCGUGCCCCGGGUGACUGCGCCAUUGCCAACCUCCCAGGGUGCCACUUUCGCGCGGGCCUCCCUGUUCCGCACUGGGUAAAGACCCGCCAGAUCCUUGGCUCGUCCCAAAAACCCGUUCUCAGAGUGUGGGCCUUCCCUUUCCCAGUCUGGUUUCUCUAGUACGGUGCCAGGGGGGGGGGGGACCUGACAGCCAGGAGCGGGGUCGCACCCGCUGCCUGGCGCUGGCACUGCGGCCUGCGCAAACAGAUUGCUCACCCUCCUCCGGGAAAGCUAAGAAAACAGCACUAAGCCUUGCAAGCUGCGGCCCAUUAAUGCCUCUUAGCUCGCAAGAUGGGUGACUUGCUCUGAGCCAGGCCCUCCCCUCCUGGCUUCUCACAUUCUCCUCCCCCUCGCCCCUUCUGUUUCCAUCCUGUCCAAGCCGCGGUCCUUCGCCCUCCUUCUCUCCCUCCACCCAGCCCCCCCACCUUCCUUUUGUUUCCAGUUUCUCCUCAUUAACCCCUUCUUCCUUUCCCCCUUCCCUCUCUUUCCCCGCUCUUCCUUUCCGGUCUCCCCGCUUGCUUCGGUCCUCGGAGGUCAUCCCUCCUUUCCACAGUCCCGGAGCUCCAAAGACGUCUGGGACUCUGCCGUCUCUCCUCUCCAUUCCCAGGAGGAGAAGAACCACGUAUAUGAUGUGGAAGCUGGGCACUUCGACCUCUGGGAACAAAGAAUGCUUCUUGCCUUCCUUAGCUUUAUAGCAAGGCCAUUUUGUGGGGAUAGUCCAAUACAGCUGAUUUUCAAAAGCAAAGAAAAUGUAUGGUGCAGUAAGAUGUGGAGGUCCAGGGCAGCAGGUCUCUGCUGGGUACCUCUUUGACAGCCAGAUGCAGGCUUUCUAGUCAAUCACUGAGAAAAACACCACUGAACUUGGCAGUGAAAGCCUCCUCUGGCCCUGGACUUGCAGCUGCCCCCCUCCUGGGAAGAUCAUACAGAUACGGGAAGGGGGAAGGGUAAUAGCAGCAUGUAGGGUGACUACCGCAAACCUGGGAAUGGACUAUGAACUUAGCAAAACCUACCAAGACCCAAAGUCAUUGGCAUACAACAUUGUUCAGGCUUUCCCUAAGACACAGGGAGAUCCCAGUCCCUUCCAGCACUCAGAUUUUCUUGGUGUGCUUUGGGGGGGGCUUCACUUUUAGGUAAAUUUAUGUUAACUCCAGCUCUUCUCAAACCAAAGCCAACUUGUGAGGCUAGGUACUCACAAGAAAAAAGACUGGAGAUUAUCUCAAAGCAGAGAUUUGUGUGGGUCAUGAGAAUCUGCUAAAGUGGCAUUCUGUCACUUGUCCUGGGUCCAUGCCUGUUGGGUGCAGGUCUGUAAGACUGAAGAGCUUAGGCUAGUGGGAGAAUCCUCUUCCUUAGUCCACCUCAGGCCAUGGAGUCUCCCUAGACAGUGCAGAUUCUAACCUAGGGACCUAGGCGUCAGGGCCAGAGGGCCUGUCAGCAGCUUUGGCCGGGGGGAGAAAGGCACAUAUUACCGCUAGCAAUGAGGAGCACAGGAGGGGAGAGGGUAGGACAGGGAAUGGGGGUGGGGAGUGGCACGGAACUCUGACCUCAGCAGCGCCCCCAGAAGGGAAACCCAGGGUCAGAGAGGACACUUACGUGCACACAGUCUUGAUGUUCGUCUUGUCGUCCAGGCCCUGCGGGUAGUUGGCCAUGCUGUCGCCCAGCUUGAGCAAACAGUCUGAAAAGCCCUUGAAGACUGCAUCGCACUUGCCCGCCGCUCUCACGGCCUGCACCAGGUAAGCUGUGGGGAGGACGGACACCAGUCAACACCACCACCCUGCCCCACUACUGACCCGAUGGCCCCUUGGGGUGGUCUCCUUUAAAAUUCAGCACAGUGCCCCCCCCCAAAUGACCUAUUUGCAUUCGGCCCACCUCUGGUGCAGAUGGAGGGAUCUGAGCGUUGGUGGGUACAGAUGGGUGGCAGGGAGGUGAGUCCAUUUAUUUUCUUCAGCUCGCUCCCUCGCUCCCAGCUGAGCUCUACUUCUUUUUCUGUUGUCAGCGCCCCCUCUUCUCACCUCCCUCAUCUCCUUUAUUACUCUUUUUUCCUCACUCCCUCCUUGUCUCUCAACACUUCCUCCACCAAAACCCUGUCACGUCUCGCGGUGCAAUCUUCCAUUUUUGUGGUGACAGAGGGGGUCUUGAGGCAGAGUGCUGGGGGGGGGCAAAAACCGCCAGAGAGGUGUGGUGUCCGGGGUUGCGCCACUGAGCCAAGCACCACACCCCAAGAGUUGACAUCAGGCGCCAGGGUCUUUGUCAGGCGCUCAGCAAAUAUUGCUUAAUAAAUGAAUGAAUAAAGUCUUUGGAAGAGCAGAAACA